rnacentral:rRNA from 1 species
AUGGUUGUUGUCAGCUCGUGUCGUGAGAUGUUGGGUUAAGUCCCGCAACGAGCGCAACCCCUGUGGUUAGUUGCCAUCAUUUAGUUGGGCACUCUAAGCAGACUGCCGUGGAUAACACGGAGGAAGGUGGGGACGACGUCAAAUCAUCAUGCCCCUUAUGACCUGGGCUACACACGUGCUACAAUGGUCUGAACAGAGGGCUGCGAAACCGCGAGGUGAAGCUAAUCCCUUAAAACGGAUCUCAGUUCGGAUUGCAGGCUGCAACUCGCCUGCAUGAAGUUGGAGUUGCUAGUAAUCGCAGAUCAGAAUGCUGCGGUGAAUGCGUUCCCGGGUCUUGUACACACCGCCCGUCACACCACGAGAGUUGGCAACACCCGAAGUCAGUGAGGUAACCGCAAGGAACCAGCUGCCGAAGGUGGGGUCAGUAAUUGGGGUGAAGUCGUAACAAGGUAGCCGUAUCGGAAGGUGCGGCUGGAUCACC